AGAAUCUUAAAAAAGAACAUGACCUCUAAAAGGCCUGAGAAAACAAUGACAUACAAUGUGUCUGGCACCCCCAUAUUUCGAUAAAAUCCUUUCACGAACAAAACAUCAGAAACCAUAAACACUGCCAUUGUUGCUUGAAUGCUUCCAAUUAAUUUCCUUGCUGGAACUGUUUUCAAGUGUUGAUUGUAGAUGAUGCUCCANGAUGAUGCUCCACAGAAGCAAUGCCGCCUGGCCAAAAACCUUAGAGAUCCCUAGUAGUGAUGAAUCAAUCUUCAAAUAUUGUGUUUGAUAAAAGAACAUUGUUCCUGUCAGUGCUGGAAUCACAGCAUAAGAUGCAGCAAACCAUGCUAUUGAGUAAGCAACCUCAGGUUUUUUUAAUGCAAAAGAGAGCUGCGAAAGCUGUU
rnacentral:misc_RNA from 1 species